rnacentral:rRNA from 1 species
AUGGAGGGGUGUGACCGGAUCAGGGGCCCGUGGAGCCCGGAGGAGGACGGCGCGCUGCGGCGGCUGGUGGAGCUCCACGGCGCGCGCAACUGGACGGCCAUCGGCCGCGGGGUGCCCGGCCGCUCCGGCAAGUCCUGCCGCCUGCGGUGGUGCAACCAGCUCUCGCCCGGGGUGGAGCGCAGGCCCUUCACGGCCGAGGAGGACACCGUCAUCGCCCGCGCCCACGUCCGGAUCGGCAACCGAUGGGCCGCCAUCGCGCGCCUCCUCCGCGGCCGCACCGACAACGCCGUCAAGAACCACUGGAACUGCUCCCUCAAGCGCAGGCUCGGCGACCUUGGUGCUGACGGGGUCACCGAGGGUGAUCUGGACGAGCGGCCGUGCAAGCGCGCCAGCGUCACGCCCGAGAGCACCUCCGGAUCGGGGUCGGGGUCUGGCUCUGGGUCGGACCGCAGCGACCUCAGCCAUGGCGGUGCCUUCGGGCUUGGCCAGGUUUACCGGCCGGUGGCGCGGGCCGGCGGGUUCGAGCCGGCGGACUGCGCCAUGAGCCAGCGACACGAGGAGGAGCAGGAGGACCCAUUCACGUCGCUCUCGCUCUCCCUCCCCGGCACAGAUGCCCAUGGGUUCCACCACGACAGCUCCCACAGCCAUUUCCACCAGCCGUCUCCCUCCCCGUCGCCGCCGCCCGCUACGGCGUCCACCACUGCGCCGCCGGCGUCGUCGUACCCGUUCUCCCCCGCUUUCGCCGCCGCGAUGCAGGAGAUGAUCCGUGACGAGGUGCGCAGGUACAUCUCCGGCGUCAGCUGCGGCUCCAACCUGCCGUCCAUGCCGCAACUGGUGGAUGGCGUGAUGCGUGCCGCAGCGGAGCGCGCCGGCGGGGUCUCGAGGAUGCGGUGA